rnacentral:lncRNA from 1 species
CAAGAAACUCUAGAAGCAGUGACGUAAGCAAUGACGAAAGCAGUGACGUAAGCAAUGACGCAAGCAGUGACGUAAGCAAUGACGCAAUAACGAUGUCGGCACCAUUAGAUGGAAGACAUGUGUACUCAACCAAUGAAUCAACGCCACAACUAUCAAGCCUCUUCGCCUAUAAAUACACAAGCUAUCGAAACGAAGGAGGCAUCAGAAGUUCUC